rnacentral:lncRNA from 1 species
GUGGGUCACGUGGGGGGCUGGUCUAGGCCUGAGCCGGUGAGCAGGGGCUAGAGCCAGGGUGGGCUGCAUUCACAUCCUGCCCUCUGGCACUCAGUGCCCCCGUGGAGGCGCCUCUGGUCCAGCAAGAAGCCCGCUGCCCAGAUGCUCGGGAGGUGGGGGUCCCUGCCUGCCCCAGCCCUGCAGUUCUGAGGUUCAGGGGCCCUGGGCUCACAUGAGCUCUGAGAGCAGCAAAGGGGAGAAGGAAGGCUCUGGAAGCCUCUUGGCACGAAACCCCAGCCAGAAACUCUGUCGGCUCCGUCUACAAGGAUCUCCCCCCCAGCAUCCCAAGGAGGUGAGGGGUGCGGAUGGCCAUUCACUUUACAGGUGGGGACCAAGGCUCCAAGAAGGCCGGCUUCUUUUCUUAGGGCAACUUUGGGCCAUUUGUGCAUGUCAUCCAUCCCAUCAUUCCGGCACCCAACAGCCACGGUGAGGGCCUCCCGUGGGCGCAGCCUGCCUCAUGGGGCCUCAUGAGCCUGUGGGGGAAGAGACAGCUCCUCGAGUAGGUGCCUCUGCUCGUCCCUGGAAAGAGCUCAGCCCUUCUCCACCUGGCAAACUCCUGUUCACCCCUCAACACCCAGAUCUAUGACUCUGACCCAGGUCCCACUAGUUCUGAGGAAGAGCAAGUGGCUUGAUUUGGUGACGGGGAGAACGAGGCGGGUGGGGGAGGUGCAUCCCCAGGCCCACAGGAGGAGCUUGGCUUGUGUGUGGCACGGUCCACACCUCGUGAACCAACCUUCCAUCCAGGAGAGGAGCGAUGAAGAUAGAUGUGCCCGAGCGUGCACUGUGGACCCCUAAGCAGGGCGCGGGGGGUGGAAGGGUGAUGUUGACCUCAGGAUGCUUUCUUCAAGGCUUGUCUCGUGGGGCCUUUGGGGAACAUCUGGCCUGGACCCUCAGGGUCUCUUCCUGCGCUGACUCACGAUGCGACAGCACAGGCUGGAAGGUCCGUGUCCACUGGGAGAGGCUGGACAGGCGAGUGGCAGAGCCCCAGGUGAACGGCCCGUGGGGGGAUGUUGCUGUAUCCACGUUAUUUCCUCCUCCAAACACCAAGACUUCGACGACCGAGGCAGCGACGCCCGCAGGCUGACACUGAUGCACAGAUGGAGUCAGCAACGUGGAUUUGUCCCCACGUCCCUGGUGCAGAGUGAUCCGGGGAAACAGUCCUGGGGAACACGGGGGCACUGCCCGGCUGGGCUGCCAGGGCCCUCUGAGCCCCUCUGCUCCAGUCCUCAUCGGCUGGGCAGGUAUGGUCCAGAGAGGGAAACUGCCCUGCCCAGAGCCACACAGCACAUCAGGGACCAGCCACGGCUGGACAAGGACUGACUGCUGGUGGGGGGUUCCCACCCUUUGUGGGAGAGCCUGGGGCCCCCUGAGCCCUCGCACUCCCAGGCUCUUGCUGGGCCCCCAGGGAAACGCCCUACACCCUCCCGGGCCCUCCAGGCAGCCCUGGCUCCAGCAGGUGCCCUUAUCGAGAAGAGGCAGCCGGGUUUUCUCUGCCCCACGUUUCUCCCCGCUGUGCCACACUGGCAGGCGUUUCUGUCUGCCCGCCUGCCCUCUGCUGGGUCCCUCGGCCAUGGUGAGGGGCUUGGAGCAGGACAAGAAGCCAAGUCUUGCACUUGUGGUUUGGAUCCACGAGAGAAUGGGUGCUGGCUGCUGAGGGCUCCCCUCUGGCUCCUGGGAGGAACACCCGGGACCCAGAGGUGCCGCGCUGUGGUCGAGGCCACGAGGGGUGAG